AGCAAAUGGGAUUAGAGGCGGCCCUCGGGCUCGAGACCGGAUGUAGGCGGAGUAGGCGCGCGGAGCCCAGCCUGCGGUGCAUGUUUUGGGGGCCGCAGAUUAAGGGGGUCCCGGAGCAACUGUGUUACAGUUUAAGUGUUGUUUGCAUGAAGCAUGGUCACCGCUGCUGAGGAAUCCUUUGGCUUGGGCUGAGUUGGUCCCUCCUGCAUCUUCAGUCCUUGCGGUGACAUCCACGUUGUUCCACUCGUGAUAAAUGAAGGGCCUCUCGGGCUGUGCUCCUCGCCUCAUAAUGAGAAUUACCAGCAGGCCUGGAUGGAUCCAAAGUAAUGUGAGCCUGCUGUCCUGCAAAUGUCUGUAAUAAUAAAUGACAAGGAAGGCAGAGAGACAUGGACGGGGCCAAGGAAAUCAGCAAAGGAUGAAGCACCCAGAGAGUAGCAACAGUGGAGAGUGCCUUCUGAUGAUAAUUGGCAAUCCCAUGGAGCUGCCACUUGGAAACUAUAUGUACCAGCUGAGGACUGAACAUCUGACCAUUGUGGUGCAUCAUUCCCUUAUCACUGGAACAUCUACAGGUAUUAUUAAACCCAUUUUACAGAUGAGGCAUGUUAAGGAAUGUACCCAA